AAAUUGAAGAGUUUGAUCAUGGCUCAGAUUGAACGCUGGCGGCAGGCCUAACACAUGCAAGUCGAACGGUAGCAGGAAGAAGCUUGCUUCUUCGCUGACGAGUGGCGGACGGGUGAGUAAUGUCUGGGAAACUGCCUGAUGGAGGGGGAUAACUACUGGAAACGGUAGCUAAUACCGCAUAACGUCGCAAGACCAAAGAGGGGGACCUUCGGGCCUCUUGCCAUCGGAUGUGCCCAGAUGGGAUUAGCUUGUUGGUGGGGUAACGGCUCACCAAGGCGACGAUCCCUAGCUGGUCUGAGAGGAUGACCAGCCACACUGGAACUGAGACACGGUCCAGACUCCUACGGGAGGCAGCAGUGGGGAAUAUUGCACAAUGGGCGCAAGCCUGAUGCAGCCAUGCCGCGUGUAUGAAGAAGGCCUUCGGGUUGUAAAGUACUUUCAGCGGGGAGGAAGGGAGUAAAGUUAAUACCUUUGCUCAUUGACGUUACCCGCAGAAGAAGCACCGGCUAACUCCGUGCCAGCAGCCGCGGUAAUACGGAGGGUGCAAGCGUUAAUCGGAAUUACUGGGCGUAAAGCGCACGCAGGCGGUUUGUUAAGUCAGAUGUGAAAUCCCCGGGCUCAACCUGGGAACUGCAUCUGAUACUGGCAAGCUUGAGUCUCGUAGAGGGGGGUAGAAUUCCAGGUGUAGCGGUGAAAUGCGUAGAGAUCUGGAGGAAUACCGGUGGCGAAGGCGGCCCCCUGGACGAAGACUGACGCUCAGGUGCGAAAGCGUGGGGAGCAAACAGGAUUAGAUACCCUGGUAGUCCACGCCGUAAACGAUGUCGACUUGGAGGUUGUGCCCUUGAGGCGUGGCUUCCGGAGCUAACGCGUUAAGUCGACCGCCUGGGGAGUACGGCCGCAAGGUUAAAACUCAAAUGAAUUGACGGGGGCCCGCACAAGCGGUGGAGCAUGUGGUUUAAUUCGAUGCAACGCGAAGAACCUUACCUGGUCUUGACAUCCACGGAAGUUUUCAGAGAUGAGAAUGUGCCUUCGGGAACCGUGAGACAGGUGCUGCAUGGCUGUCGUCAGCUCGUGUUGUGAAAUGUUGGGUUAAGUCCCGCAACGAGCGCAACCCUUAUCCUUUGUUGCCAGCGGUCCGGCCGGGAACUCAAAGGAGACUGCCAGUGAUAAACUGGAGGAAGGUGGGGAUGACGUCAAGUCAUCAUGGCCCUUACGACCAGGGCUACACACGUGCUACAAUGGCGCAUACAAAGAGAAGCGACCUCGCGAGAGCAAGCGGACCUCAUAAAGUGCGUCGUAGUCCGGAUUGGAGUCUGCAACUCGACUCCAUGAAGUCGGAAUCGCUAGUAAUCGUGGAUCAGAAUGCCACGGUGAAUACGUUCCCGGGCCUUGUACACACCGCCCGUCACACCAUGGGAGUGGGUUGCAAAAGAAGUAGGUAGCUUAACCUUCGGGAGGGCGCUUACCACUUUGUGAUUCAUGACUGGGGUGAAGUCGUAACAAGGUAACCGUAGGGGAACCUGCGGUUGGAUCACCUCCUUA
rnacentral:rRNA from 1 species